UACGUAGGGUGCAAGCGUUGUCCGGAAUUAUUGGGCGUAAAGAGCGUGUAGGCGGCCAGGUAGGUCCGUUGUGAAAACUGGAGGCUUAACCUCCAGCUGUCGAUGGAAACCAUCUGGCUAGAGUCCGGAAGAGGAGAGUGGAAUUCCUGGUGUAGCGGUGAAAUGCGCAGAUAUCAGGAAGAACACCCGUGGCGAAGGCGGCUCUCUGGGACGGUACUGACGCUGAGACGCGAAAGCGUGGGGAGCGAACAGG
rnacentral:rRNA from 1 species